CUCUUAUCCAGAGUGGCAGAGGGAUCGGCCCACUGAAGCCCGGCAACCAGUGUGGAACUCAAUGGCUUGGCUACCGUUGAGUCCGGAUAUGGUGCCAAUUCCGACAGGGAGCGACGUACCCUGAAAGAUGAGAG
rnacentral:ncRNA from 2 species